GGCAGACGGGUGAGUAACAUGUGGGAAUCUGCCUUGUGGUUCAGGACAACAUUGGGAAACCGAUGCUAAUACUGGAUAAGCCCUUACGGGGAAAGUUUUAAUGCCAUAAGAUGAGCCCGCAUUUGAUUAGUUAGUUGGUGAGGUAAUGGCUCACCAAGACAAUGAUCAAUAGCUGAUCUGAGAGGAUGAUCAGCCACACUGGGACUGAGACACGGCCCAGACUCCUACGGGAGGCAGCAGUGGGGAAUCUUGCACAAUGGAGGAAACUCUGAUGCAGCGAUGCCGCGUGAGUGAGGAAGGCCUUUGGGUUGUAAAGCUCUUUUGUAGGGGAAGAUAAUGACUGUACCCUAAGAAUAAGGUCCGGCUAACUUCGUGCCAGCAGCCGCGGUAAUACGAAGGGACCUAGCGUAGUUCGGAAUUACUGGGCGUAAAGCGCGCGUAGGCCGUUGAGUUAGUUAAUUGUGAAAUCCCAAAGCUUAACUUUGGAACUGCAAUUAAAACUGCUCGACUAGAGUUUGAUAGAGGAAAGCGGAAUACAUAGUGUAGAGGUGAAAUUCGUAGAUAUUAUGUAGAACACCAGUUGCGAAGGCGGCUUUCUGGAUCAACACUGACGCUGAGGCGCGAAAGUAUGGGUAGCAAAGAGGAUUAGAUACCCUCGUAGUCCAUACCAUAAACGAUGAUUGCUAGAUGUUGGAAAUUUAUUUUCAGUAUCGCAGCUAACGCAUUAAGCAAUCCGCCUGGGGAGUACGACCGCAAGGUU
rnacentral:rRNA from 1 species